GGCUGUCGUCAGCUCGUGUCGUGAGAUGUUGGGUUAAGUCCCGCAACGAGCGCAACCCUUGUCUUUAAUUGCCAUCAUUAAGUUGGGCACUUUAAAGAGACUGCCGGUGUUAAGCCGGAGGAAGGUGGGGAUGACGUCAAGUCCUCAUGGCCUUUAUGCCCAGGGCAUCACACGUGCUACAAUGGCGGGUACAGAGCGACGCGAUACCGUGAGGUGGAGCAAAUCGCAGAAAACCCGCCCCAGUUCGGAUUGUAGGCUGGCAACUCGCCUACAUGAAGCUGGAAUCGCUAGUAAUCGCGCAUCAGCUAUGGCGCGGUGAAUGUGUUCCUGAGCCUUGUACACACCGCCCGUCAAGUGAUGGGAGUCGGGAGUACCCGAAGUCGGAUUGCUAACCCCGAGCAAUCGGGGAGGUGUCUGCCUACGGUAAGCCCGAUGACUGGCACUAAGUCGUAACAAGGUAGCCGUAGGGGAACCUGCGGCUGGAUCACCUCCUUU
rnacentral:rRNA from 1 species